CAGUCAGUCCACAUUUUUACUCUCAGUGCUGGAUCAACUGCUUCAGCAGGUGCUGUCGAGAUCAGCCGGAGAUAUAAAAACAAGCUCCAUCAUGGUGGGGUGAAGGCAGAACGUGGGAACAGAAUGCUAAAGAAUGCAUUCUUGGCUCAAGGCAGCAGAUGAGCGUAAUAAUCAGCACCAACAAGAGCAUCACCUGUCAAUCAAACCUCUGAUGUUAGACCUGAGGAGAGAUGGAGUAUCGGUAUGGAAAUGCUGAACAUUCUACUCAUCAGUUUCCGAGAAACCGAACUUCAGCAUGAAAAACAACCUCUACAGGAUCCUCUUUACACCAGCAGACCUGAAUAUGGUGGAAUAUGGCAUCAUGGAUAAUUGAGUAUACUUAACUCUGAACACUAUCUAUCUACAUACUACAUACUUGAAAACGACUUAGUAUUAUGUGAUUAAAGCAACAGUCCUUCAGGUUUUUCUAAGAGUUUUGUUUUCAAUUGACAGUAGUAGUGUAUAUAUUCAGGGUGCCUCCAUGUCUAUGUUACCUUCUGGCUCUCUGCCUUUAGUUAGGCUGUUUUAUUCAGUUCUGCCGGAGUCAUUAGCCACACUCUGAUAAUGUUUUAAUAUUCUCAGUUUUGCAUAAAUCCAGUAAAAACUAAUUCCAUCUCUCUGCUUUCCUCCGAGUUACUGACUGCCCACCUGUCUGACCCGAUACCGAUGUUGGACCCUCAGGCUCUCGCGUCUCCUGUCCGGCCAGACUGAUGGAAGUUUCUGAAGUCAGCUCUUCUCCACCACCACCACAGAUCAGCUGCUCAUCGACCAUCUUACUCUCCACUACAGAUUACAUCCAAGCCAUUAGUGGCGCUAUUACACUCCUGAGUACAUAAAACCUAUAUGGAUGUAUAAAAGACUUUUUAAAUUUUAAUUUAAAAGCCGUUUGACCAGUGGUAGGAUGGUCCCCCCUUUAAUGUGAGUCUUGGUCCUCCCAAGGUUUCUUCCUCCUCCUGCAGCUCUGAGGGAGUUUUUCCUUGCCUCCGCGCUCACUGGGGGUUCUGUAUUCUGUAUAUUCUAUGUUUAAUGUUUUGCCUGAUUCUUUGUCCUGUAAUCAUGUUUCUGUAAAGCUGCUUUGUGCCAACACCUGUUGUAAAAAGCGCUAUACAAAUAAAUUUGAUUUGAUUUGA